CCAUGAUUGACGGGGUUUGAUUGACGGUGCGAGCGUCAGGGGCGGGAAAUGGGGGCCGCGGUGACGUCAGGGGUGACCUUGCGUGACCUCUAUGACCCCAUGUGACCCCCGUGACUCGGCCUGACCACGCCCCCCGGGACCCUGGGCCCCGGGCCGCCAUGGACGCCGGAGCCGCGGGAACCGCGAGGACCGGGGACGGUGACGUCAUCGCGGGCGCCGCCGCCGCCGCCCGUCAAUCACCGCGCCGCGCGGGGAGCCGGGCCUGGGGGUGACGUCACCCCCUCCGGAGGCUCGGGCGGCCCCGCCCACCGUGCCCCAGCCACGCCCCCCCCUCAUCGCCCACCGGCGACUUCAUUCCGUGCCAUUUUAAUGGCGGCGGCUUCAGCCACGCGCGCCAUUUUGGUGACGUCACGCCGCGCGCCCCCGGUUGAGGGCGGCGGCUUCACCCGCGAGCCAUCUUGAUGACGUCAUUCCGCGCCGUUCGUUCCUUGUUUUUUUUCCUCCUCUCCCACCGCCAGGCCCCGGGAGGUGGGCGGGGCCGGCCGGGGUAGGGGGCGGGGUCAGACUCCGCUCCGGGUGACGUCACGGCGGGGAGGGCGGAAGGGGGCGGGGCCGAGGUCAAUAAAGGAAAAUAUUUUUGAGA